AGUGGGGAAUAUUGGACAAUGGGCGCAAGCCUGAUCCAGCCAUGCCGCGUGGGUGAAGAAGGCCUUAGGGUUGUAAACCCCUUUCAGCGGGGAAGAUAAUGACGGUACCCGCAGAAGAAGUCCCGGCUAACUCCGUGCCAGCAGCCGCGGUAAUACGGAGGGGACUAGCGUUGUUCGGAAUUACUGGGCGUAAAGCGCGCGUAGGCGGAUUUGCAAGUCGGGGGUGAAAUCCCGAGGCUCAACCUCGGAACUGCCUUCGAUACUGCAAAUCUCGAGUCCGGAAGAGGUGAGUGGAAUUCCUAGUGUAGAGGUGAAAUUCGUAGAUAUUAGGAAGAACACCAGUGGCGAAGGCGGCUCACUGGUCCGGUACUGACGCUGAGGCGCGAAAGCGUGGGGAGCAAA
rnacentral:rRNA from 1 species